AUCGUGUCAAUGUGUAUCUCGUAAGUGGGGAUGAGCGUGCAACUCCAUGAAGAUCCGUAAAUCUCAACCGAAAAGGAAAUAUGCCCCAGUAUGACAUCAAGUGCGCGACAGGUCCGAAGGACAAAUGUCAUGAAAUCAUCUAUCGUCGCACAUGUAACACUGGUCAUCCGAAUCCAUAACUGAAUCGUGCACAUAUAUCCAAG
rnacentral:lncRNA from 1 species